UACGUAGGGGGCUAGCGUUGUCCGGAAUCAUUGGGCGUAAAGAGCGCGUAGGCGGCCAGAUAAGUCCGGUGUGAAAGUCAAAGGCUCAACCUUUGAAUGCCGCUGGAAACUGUCUGGCUAGAGUCCGGGAGGGGCGAGUGGAAUUCCUGGUGUAGCGGUGAAAUGCGCAGAUAUCAGGAGGAACACCAAUGGCGAAGGCAGCUCGCUGGAACGGUACUGACGCUGAGACGCGAAAGCGUGGGGAGCGAACAGG
rnacentral:rRNA from 1 species